GAAACCAACAGGGAUUGCCUCAGUAACGGCGAGUGAAGCGGCAACAGCUCAAAUUUGAAAUCUGGCGCAAGCCCGAGUUGUAAUUUGUAGAGGAUGCUUCUGGGCAGCGGCCGGUCUAAGUUCCUUGGAACAGGACGUCAUAGAGGGUGAGAAUCCCGUAUGCGACCGGCUUAGCACCCGUCACGUAGCUCCUUCGAAGAGUCGAGUUGUUUGGGAAUGCAGCUCUAAAUGGGAGGUAAAUGUCUUCUAAAGCUAAAUACCGGCCAGAGACCGAUAGCGCACAAGUAGAGUGAUCGAAAGAUGAAAAGCACUUUGGAAAGAGAGUUAAAAAGCACGUGAAAUUGUUGAAAGGGAAGCGCAUGCAAUCAGACUUGUCGGCGGUGUUCCACCGGUCUUCUGACCGGCUCACUCGCCGCCGGCAGGCCAACAUCAUUUGGGCGCGCCGGAUAAGACGUGAGGAAUGUGGCCCCUCGGGGGUGUUAUAGCUCCGCGUGCAAUACGUGUCGCCCGAGUGAGGUCCGCGCUUCGGCUAGGAUGUUGGCGUAAUGGUUGUCUGCGGCCCGUCUUGAAACACGGACCAAGGAGUCUAACAUCUAUGCGAGUGUUCGGGUGUCAAACCCCUACGCGUAAUGAAAGUGAACGGAGGUGGGAACGAAAGUGCACCAUCGACCGAUCCUGAUGUCUUCGGAUGGAUUUGAGUAAGAGCAUAGCUGUUGGGACCCGAAAGAUGGUGAACUAUGCCUGAAUAGGGUGAAGCCAGAGGAAACUCUGGUGGAGGCUCGCAGCGGUUCUGACGUGCAAAUCGAUCGUCAAAUUUGGGUAUAGGGGCGAAAGACUAAUCGAACC
rnacentral:rRNA from 1 species